AUUGAACGCUGGCGGCAGGCCUAACACAUGCAAGUCGAACGAGGGGCGGACGGGUGAGUAAUGUCUGGGAAACUCCCUUAUGGGGGGGGAUAACUACUGGAAGCGGUAGCUAAUACCGCAUACCAUCAGAUGUUCCCAGAUGGGAUUAGCGUGUUGGUGGGGUAACGGCUCACCAAGGCCACGAUCCCUAGCUGGUCUGAGAGGAUGACCAGCCACACUGGAACUGAGACACGGCCCAGACUCCUACGGGAGGCAGCAGUGGGGAAUAUUGCACAAUGGGCGCAAGCCUGAUGCAGCCAUGCCGCGUGUAUGAAGAAGGCCUUCGGGUUGUAAAGUACUUUCAGCGGGGAGGCGUUACCCGCAGAAGAAGCACCGGCUAACUCCGUGCCAGCAGCCGCGGUAAUUC
rnacentral:rRNA from 1 species